rnacentral:rRNA from 1 species
GACGAACGCUCGCUGCGUGCUUAACACAUGCAAGUCGAACGGAAAGGCCCUGCUUUUGUUGCUUUCUCUAGUGGCGAACGGGUGCGUAACACGUGAGUAACCUUCCCUUGUCUUUGGGAUAACUUCAGGAAACUGCGGCUAAUACCGGAUAGGAGCUCCUGCUGCAUGGUGGUGGUUGGAAUGUUUCGGCGGUUGGGGAUGGACUCGCGGCUUAUCAGAUUGUUGGUGGGGUAGUGGAUUACCAAGGCUUUGACGGGUAGCCGGCCUGAGAGGGUGACCGGAAAAAUUGGGAAUGAGAUACGGGAAUGAGUAGUAAGGAAGGCAGCAGGGGGGAAGAUUGCACAAUGGGGGGAAGCCUGAUGCAGGAAGGCCGCGUGAGGGAUGACGGACUUCGGGUAGUAAACAGCUAUCGGCUGUGAGGAAGCGUGAGUGAAGGUAAUGGGUAAAGAAGCACCGGCUAACUACGUG